GUGAGGAAUAUUGCGCAAUGGAGGCAACUCUGACGCAGCCAUGCCGCGUGCAGGAAGAAGGCGCUACGCGUUGUAAACUGCUUUUAACCGGGAAGAAACCCCAGGACGUGUCCUGGGUUGACGGUACCGGAGGAAUAAGCACCGGCUAACUUCGUGCCAGCAGCCGCGGUAAUACGAAGGGUGCAAGCGUUAUCCGGAUUCAUUGGGUUUAAAGGGUGCGUAGGCGGAGCGUUAAGUCAGUGGUGAAAUCCUGCAGCUUAACUGUAGACUUGCCAUUGAUACUGGCGCUCUUGAGUGCGCUUGAAGUGGGCGGAAUGUGCCGUGUAGCGGUGAAAUGCUUAGAUAUGGCACAGAACACCAAUUGCGAAGGCAGCUCACUAAGGCGAUACUGACGCUGAGACACGAAAGCGUGGGGAUCGAACAGGAUUAGAUACCCCUGUAGUCC
rnacentral:rRNA from 1 species